CAGCAGCCGCGGUAAUACGGAGGGUGCGAGCGUUAAUCGGAAUUACUGGGCGUAAAGCGCAUGCAGGUGGUUUGUUAAGUCACCCCCACAAAGCCCGGGGCUCAACCUCGGAAUUGCAUUUGAAACUGGCAGGCUAGAGUACUGUAGAGGGGGGUAGAAUUUCAGGUGUAGCGGUGAAAUGCGUAGAGAUCUGAAGGAAUACCGGUGGCGAAGGCGGCCCCCUGGACAGAUACUGACACUCAGAUGCGAAAGCGUGGGGAGCAAACAGGAUUAGAUACCCUGGUAGUCCACGCCGUAAACGAUGUCUACUUGGAGGUUGUGGCCUUGAGCCGUGGCUUUCGGAGCUAACGCGUUAAGUAGACCGCCUGGGGAGUACGGUCGCAAGAUUAAAACUCAAAUGAAUUGACGGGGGCCCGCACAAGCGGUGGAGCAUGUGGUUUAAUUCGAUGCAACGCGAAGAACCUUACCUACUCUUGACAUCCAGAGAACUUAGCAGAGAUGCUUUGGUGCCUUCGGGAACUCUGAGACAGGUGC
rnacentral:rRNA from 1 species